CCGGUAGCUCAGGUGGUUAGAGCGCACGCCUGAUAAGCGUGAGGUCGGAGGUUCAAGUCCUCCUCGGCC
rnacentral:tRNA from 3 species